GAACGAUGAUGCCCAGCUUGCUGGGCGGAUUAGUGGCGAACGGGUGAGUAAUACGUGAGUAACCUGCCCUUGACUCUGGGAUAAGCCUGGGAAACUGGGUCUAAUACUGGAUACUACCUCUUGCCGCAUGGUGGGUGGUGGAAAGGGUUUUACUGGUUUUGGAUGGGCUCACGGCCUAUCAGCUUGUUGGUGGGGUAAUGGCUCACCAAGGCGACGACGGGUAGCCGGCCUGAGAGGGUGACCGGCCACACUGGGACUGAGACACGGCCCAGACUCCUACGGGAGGCAGCAGUGGGGAAUAUUGCACAAUGGGCGGAAGCCUGAUGCAGCGACGCCGCGUGAGGGAUGACGGCCUUCGGGUUGUAAACCUCUUUCAGUAGGGAAGAAGCGAGAGUGACGGUACCUGCAGAAGAAGCGCCGGCUAACUACGUGCCAGCAGCCGCGGUAAUACGUAGGGCGCAAGCGUUGUCCGGAAUUAUUGGGCGUAAAGAGCUCGUAGGCGGUUUGUCGCGUCUGCUGUGAAAGCCCGGGGCUCAACCCCGGGUCUGCAGUGGGUACGGGCAGACUAGAGUGCAGUAGGGGAGACUGGAAUUCCUGGUGUAGCGGUGAAAUGCGCAGAUAUCAGGAGGAACACCGAUGGCGAAGGCAGGUCUCUGGGCUGUUACUGACGCUGAGGAGCGAAAGCAUGGGGAGCGAACAGGAUUAGAUACCCUGGUAGUCCAUGCCGUAAACGUUGGGCACUAGGUGUGGGGGACAUUCCACGUUUUCCGCGCCGUAGCUAACGCAUUAAGUGCCCCGCCUGGGGAGUACGGCCGCAAGGCUAAAACUCAAAGGAAUUGACGGGGGCCCGCACAAGCGGCGGAGCAUGCGGAUUAAUUCGAUGCAACGCGAAGAACCUUACCAAGGCUUGACAUUCACCGGACCGCCCCAGAGAUGGGGUUUCCCUUCGGGGCUGGUGGACAGGUGGUGCAUGGUUGUCGUCAGCUCGUGUCGUGAGAUGUUGGGUUAAGUCCCGCAACGAGCGCAACCCUCGUUCUAUGUUGCCAGCACGUGAUGGUGGGGACUCAUAGGAGACUGCCGGGGUCAACUCGGAGGAAGGUGGGGAUGACGUCAAAUCAUCAUGCCCCUUAUGUCUUGGGCUUCACGCAUGCUACAAUGGCCGGUACAAAGGGUUGCGAUACUGUGAGGUGGAGCUAAUCCCAAAAAGCCGGUCUCAGUUCGGAUUGAGGUCUGCAACUCGACCUCAUGAAGUCGGAGUCGCUAGUAAUCGCAGAUCA
rnacentral:rRNA from 1 species